GAUGAAGAACGUAGCGAAAUGCGAUAAGUAAUGCGAAUUGCAGAAUUCAGUGAAUCAUCGAAUCUUUGAACGCACAUUGCGCCCGCCAGUAUUCUGGCGGGCAUGCCUGUCUGAGCGUCGUUUCGACCCUCGCGCCCGGCUUCUGUCGGGGGCGGUGUUGGGGAUUGGCCACACCCUUCAGUGGGAGGCCGGCCCCUAAAUUCAGUGGCGACCACGCUGUAGCCUCCCCUGCGUAGUACUAAAACCACCUCGCAGGCGGAGAGCGGUGCGGCCCGCCGUAAAACCCCCCAACUUUUACAAGGUCGACCUCAGAUCAGGUAGGAAUACCCGCUGAACUUAAGCAUAUCAAUAAGCGGAGGA
rnacentral:misc_RNA from 1 species